CCUCCUCCGGGGAGGUUCCUUAGUAGAUGAGAGCCAGCCGCCCGAGCACAGGGCUCAGUACCUGCAGUUCGAGGUUUGGCACGGGAGAUCGGGAGAUCCGCAGCCCUCAGCAUGGCUGAAGCGUUUGUGAACGGCAAGAUCCACCCCGAGAAGGUGGUGGUGUUCAUCAAGCCCACUUGCCCCUACUGCAGAAAGACCCAACAGAUCCUCAGUCAACUGCCCUUCAAAGAGGGGGUUCUGGUGUUUGUGGAUAUCACAGCCAUCAGCAACACCAACGAGAUUCAAGAUUAUUUGCAACAGCUGACAGGCGCCAGAACGGUACCCCGGGUGUUUAUCGGUAAAGACUGCAUAGGUGGGUGCAACGAUCUGGUGGCUUUGCAGCAAAACGGGGAGCUGGAGAGCCGGCUGAAGCAGAUUGGUGCUCUGCAGUGAUUCCAGGAUGAAAGGCCAGGGACUCGUGUCUGUUGUUCAUUGCUCUGUUUGUAGCACCAAGAAACCCAGCAGAGUGGGCCCUGGAUCUGUACCUGCUGAGCGAAGGAAGAGUGUAGAGACCUGGCUCCUUGCCCUGGCCUCCUGACAGCCACGCCUGCAAGUCCGCAGCUGUCCAGAGACGGCCCUGGAGGAGGAACAGCAGCCAACAGUGACGGAUGAGCCCGUGUGACCCAGGCCACACUGUUUAAACCCCCAGGGUGGAUUUUGAGGCCAGCAUCUCAUCAUGUGGUUGUGAGAGAAAGCCAUGCUCCCUAAUUUACCUCUCUGUAAUAUCAUUUUCCAGCCUGGGAAAGAUUUUCAAAGACUGGGUUCCAGACAUGUUUUACCCAAAAUUCAUUUCUCACAUCAAUAGCAAUCUUUCUUAUUAAAGUCACUGAACAUCAAAUUUAAUUUUGCUUCUUGGUGAAAGAGAAGUGCAAAUGAUAUUUAAAUAUGGGUCUGUAUUUAUUAUGCACAGGUUCUGAUUUCCCUGACCCAGGCAACUCUUCUGGUAAGCUGUGGAGAGCUAAAGGGGGAGCAGAGGACAAGGGGGCAAGGAAAGCCAAUGAAGGUGCAGAAUGUUGUAAACCUUGGGCCUUGGGGUUUUAUCCCUAGUGACCUUCCUGCCCACUGGAAUUCUACCCCCAGAUCAGCUCUGGACACCGAAGCUGAACCUUCAUCCUGUGAAACGUCUGUGACUUGGAGUACUUCAUGGAUAACAUUGAAGUUGCUUACAAGACGCAUUGCUUCUCAUUAUUUUUCUUCCAAGUCAGCAUCAAAAAUUUGGUGUGGAUGAUCUUUCACAUAAUGUGCUCUGUGUUCAAACCAGGGGUGUCUAAUGGAAACCAAAUGAUCCACUGGGGAUGAAGGACCAGCAACUCCUGGGAAGGCAGAAGCUAAAGGACUCAGCUGGGAUCUGUGGCCGCAUGGCUGUCCCCUCACCCCUAGCAUGAACCCUGUGUGUGGCAAGAGUGGGUGUGUAGAGCUGACUCUGGGUGACCCCUCACAGCCCUUGCAUGGAAGACCCCGCCUUAACCUCACAAGACAGGCAUCUAUGAUUGGAGAGCUCCAGAGACAAGGGGGAAGAAAAGUGGGGCCCAGAGGCUGUCUCCAGAAAGGGGGGGGUGGGCAUCUUCAGACAGGUCAGGAAAACCCAGGAGGGCUCCUGGUUCUCCUCCCCAUCCAGGAAGUUUUUAGCAGGCAGCACUAGAGAGAGGGUAAGGUGGCUGGCUUAGUGCCACUUUGGAGGUCAUGCCAACUACCUCUUGUGUUAAGACGUGGCCCCAUUAUUAUAGAUAGGUAAAUUAAUUAGAUAUCUUGUAGGCAGUUAGACAGGGCCACCCUAAAGGAGCCAACACA